rnacentral:tRNA from 1 species
GCUAGCGUAGCUCAGUUGGUAGAGCAGCGGUUUUGUAAACCGCAGGUCGUCAGUUCGAGUCUGACCGCUAGCUC